rnacentral:rRNA from 1 species
UACGUAGGGACCGAGCGUUGUCCGGAAUCAUUGGGCGUAAAGAGCGUGUAGGCGGCCAAUUAAGUCCUGCGUGAAAUCUCGGGGCUCAACCCCGAGCGGUCGUGGGAAACUGGUUGGCUAGAGUGCGGGGGAGGAGAGUGGAAUUCCUGGUGUAGCGGUGAAAUGCGCAGAUAUCAGGAAGAACACCCGUGGCGAAGGCGGCUCUCUGGAACGCAACUGACGCUGAGACGCGAAAGCGUGGGGAGCAAACAGG